CCCACGGGGUAAUGCCUUAGUACGGCGAGUGAGCGGCAAAAGCUCAAAUUUGAAAUCGGCCACCAGGUCGAGUUGUAAUUUGUAGAUUGUAUCUUGAGAGCGGAUUAAAGUCUGUUGGAACACAGCGCCUUAGAGGGUGACAGCCCCGUAAAAUCUAUUCUCAUUGUAAGAUACUUUCGAAGAGUCGAGUUGUUUGGGAAUGCAGCUCUAAGUGGGAGGUAAAUUCCUUCUAAAGCUAAAUAUUGACGAGAGACCGAUAGCGAACAAGUACUGUGAAGGAAAGAUGAAAAGCACUUUGAAAAGAGAGUGAAAAAGUACGUGAAAUUGUUAAAAGGGAAGGGUAUUGAAUCAGACUUGGUGCUGUUGUUCAACUGUGUUUCGGCAUAGUGUACUCAGCAGUACUAGGCCAAGGUGGGGUGUUUGGGAGUGAAAAAGAAGUAGGAACGUAACUCUUCGGAGUGUUAUAGCCUACUUUCAUAGCUCCUCAGGCGCCUCAGGACUGCGCUUCGGCAAGGACCUUGGCAUAAUGAUUCUAUACCGCCCGUCUUGAAACACGGACCA
rnacentral:rRNA from 1 species